rnacentral:rRNA from 1 species
UACGUAGGUGGCAAGCGUUGUCCGGAUUUACUGGCGUAAAGAGCGCGCAGGCGGUCGAUCAAGUCGCGUGUGAAAGCCCCCGGCUCAACUGGGGAGGGUCAUUCGAUACUGUCCGACUCGAAGGCAGGAGAGGGAAGCGGAAUUCCCGGUGUAGUGGUGAAAUGCGUAGAUAUCGGGAGGAACACCAGUGGCGAAGGCGCUUCUGGCCCAACAUUGACCGCUGAG